rnacentral:misc_RNA from 1 species
GAACUGGAUAGAGCGAUCCAGAUCACCAACACGAAGCAUUAUUUGGCACAGGGGCUCAGGAGUUGGUCCCCUUUGUAUGAGCUCAAAAAUAUAACCAUCUGGAUCCUUUACAAAGCCAAUAACAGUCGUUCCACCUUUGACUGGACCAGGCUCCCUAGUGAUAACGCCACCUUUGGCACGUAUGUCUUCAACCAACUUGUAAACAUCCUGCGAUGCAAUUGCAAAAUGCCCAAAUCCAGUUCCAAUAUCAUAUGAAGUCACUCCAUAAU